rnacentral:rRNA from 1 species
UGUUGGGUAGGGGAGCGUUCUGUAAGCCUGCGAAGGUGGCCUGUGAGGGUUGCUGGAGGUAUCAGAAGUGCGAAUGCUGACAUAAGUAACGAUAAAGCGGGUGAAAAGCCCGCUCGCCGGAAGACCAAGGGUUCCUGUCCAACGUUAAUCGGGGCAGGGUGAGUCGACCCCUAAGGCGAGGCCGAAAGGCGUAGUCGAUGGGAAACGGGUUAAUAUUCCCGUACUUGGUGUUACUGCGAAGGGGGGACGGAGAAGGCUAUGUUGGCCGGGCGACGGUUGUCCCGGUUUAAGCGUGUAGGUGUGUGUUCCAGGUAAAUCCGGUUCACUUUAACACUGAGGCGUGA